UGGGGAAUAUUGGACAAUGGGCGCAAGCCUGAUCCAGCCAUGCCGCGUGAGUGAUGAAGGCCCUAGGGUUGUAAAGCUCUUUCACCGGUGAAGAUAAUGACGGUAACCGGAGAAGAAGCCCCGGCUAACUUCGUGCCAGCAGCCGCGGUAAUACGAAGGGGGCUAGCGUUGUUCGGAUUUACUGGGCGUAAAGCGCACGUAGGCGGACUAUUAAGUCAGGGGUGAAAUCCCGGGGCUCAACCCCGGAACUGCCUUUGAUACUGGUAGUCUUGAGUUCGAGAGAGGUGAGUGGAAUUCCGAGUGUAGAGGUGAAAUUCGUAGAUAUUCGGAGGAACACCAGUGGCGAAGGCGGCUCACUGGCUCGAUAAUGACGCUGAGGUGCGAAAGCGUGGGGAGCAAACAGG
rnacentral:rRNA from 1 species